AGAGUUUGAUCCUGGCUCAGGAUGAACGCUAGCGGCAGGCCUAAUACAUGCAAGUCGAACGGGUUUGAGUAGCAAUACUCAAAUCAGUGGCGCACGGGUGCGUAACGCGUAUGCAACCUACCUUAAACUGGGGGAUAGCCUUCCGAAAGGGAGAUUAAUACCGCAUAAUACUAUUUGAUGGCAUCUGAAGAUAGUUAAAGAUUUAUUGGUUUAAGAUGGGCAUGCGUGCCAUUAGCUAGUUGGUAAGGUAACGGCUUACCAAGGCUACGAUGGCUAGGGGUUCUGAGAGGAUGAUCCCCCACACUGGUACUGAGAUACGGACCAGACUCCUACGGGAGGCAGCAGUAGGGAAUAUUGGGCAAUGGACGCAAGUCUGACCCAGCCAUGCCGCGUGCAGGAUGAAGGCCUUCUGGGUUGUAAACUGCUUUUAUCUGGGAAGAAAACACCUAUGCGUAGGAACCUGACGGUACCAGAUGAAUAAGCACCGGCUAACUCCGUGCCAGCAGCCGCGGUAAUACGGAGGGUGCAAGCGUUGUCCGGAUUUAUUGGGUUUAAAGGGUGCGUAGGCGGCCCGUUAAGUCAGUGGUGAAAGCCUCCAGCUCAACUGGAGAACUGCCAUUGAUACUGACGGGCUUGAGUACAGACGAGGUUGGCGGAAUUGAUUGUGUAGCGGUGAAAUGCAUAGAUACAAUCAAGAACUCCGAUUGCGUAGGCAGCUAACUAGGCUGUAACUGACGCUGAGGCACGAAAGCGUGGGGAGCGAACAGGAUUAGAUACCCUGGUAGUCG
rnacentral:rRNA from 1 species